rnacentral:rRNA from 1 species
AUACAGAGGGUGCAAGCGUUAAUCGGAUUUACUGGGCGUAAAGCGCGCGUAGGUGGCUAAUUAAGUCAAAUGUGAAAUCCCCGAGCUUAACUUGGGAAUUGCAUUCGAUACUGGUUAGCUAGAGUAUGGGAGAGGAUGGUAGAAUUCCAGGUGUAGCGGUGAAAUGCGUAGAGAUCUGGAGGAAUACCGAUGGCGAAGGCAGCCAUCUGGCCUAAUACUGACACUGAGGUGCGAAAGCAUGGGGAGCAAACAGGAUUAGAUACCCUGGUAGUCCAUGCCGUAAACGAUGUCUACUAGCCGUUGGGGCCCUUGAGGCUUUAGUGGCGCAGCUAACGCGAUAAGUAGACCGCCUGGGGAGUACGGCCGCAAGACUAAAACUUAAAUGAAUUGACGGGG